rnacentral:rRNA from 1 species
UACGUAGGUGGCAAGCGUUGUCCGGAUUUACUGGGCGUAAAGAGCGCGUAGGCGCCUUCUAAGUCGAACGUGAAAUCCCCGGGCUCAACCCGGGAACUGCGUCCGAUACUGGGAGGCUUGAAUCCGGGAGAGGGAUGCGGAAUUCCAGGUGUAGCGGUGAAAUGCGUAGAUAUGCGGAGGAACACCGAUGGCGAAGGCAAUCCCCUGGGCCUGCACUGACGCUCAUGCACGAAAGCGUGGGGAGCAAACAGG